UACGUAGGGGGGCUAGCGUUGCUCGGAAUCACUGGGCGUAAAGGGUGCGUAGGCGGGGUCUUUAAGUCAGGGGGUGAAAAUCCCUGGAGCUCAACUCCCAGAACUGCCUUUGAUACUGAGGAUCUUUGAGUUCGGGGAGAGGGUGGAGUGGGAAACUGCGAGUGUAGAGGGUGAAAAUUCGUAGAUAUUUCGCAAGAACACCAGUG
rnacentral:rRNA from 1 species